GGUCAAGCGAAUAAGUGCAUGUGGUGGAUGCCUUGGCGAUUACAGGCGAUGAAGGACGUAGUAGCCUGCGAUAAGCCCCGGGGAGCUGGCAAACAAGCUUUGAUCCGGGGAUUUCCGAAUGGGGAAACCCAACCCGCAAGGGUUACUCCCACCUGAAUACAUAGGGUGGGUAGAGCGAACCUGCUGAACUGAAACAUCUAAGUAGGCAGAGGAACAGAAAUCAACCGAGAUUCCGAAAGUAGUGGCGAGCGAAAUCGGAACAGCCUGCAACUUUUAGCCAGUGUUUUAGCGGAACGGUCUGGAAAGUCCGGCCAUAGAGGGUGAUAGCCCCUUACGCGAAAAAUCAUUGGUGGAACUAGGGUUGCGACAAGUAGGGCGGGACACGUGAAAUCCUGUCUGAACAUGGGGGGACCAUCCUCCAAGGCUAAAUACUCGUAAUCGACCGAUAGUGAACCAGUACCGUGAGGGAAAGGCGAAAAGAACCCCGGGAGGGGAGUGAAAUAGAUCCUGAAACCGCAUGCAUACAAGCGGUCGGAGCUCCGCAAGGAGUGACGGCAUACCUUUUGUAUAAUGGGUCAGCGACUUACAUUCAGUGGCGAGCUUAACCGUAUAGGGAAAGCGUAGCGAAAGCGAGUCUGAACAGGGCGUUUAGUCGCUGGGUGUAGACCCGAAACCAGAUGAUCUACCCAUGGCCAGGAUGAAGGUGAGGUAACUCUCACUGGAGGUCCGAACCCACUACCGUUGAAAAGGUAGGGGAUGAGCUGUGGGUAGGGGUGAAAGGCUAAACAAAUCUGGAGAUAGCUGGUUCUCUCCGAAAGCUAUUUAGGUAGCGCCUCGUGAUAUACCUUCGGGGGUAGAGCACUGUCAUGGCUAGGGGGCCGUUUAGGCCUACCAAACCAUUGCAAACUCCGAAUACCGAAGAGUAGUUUCACGGGAGACAGACAUCGGGUGCUAACGUCCGGUGUCAAGAGGGAAACAACCCAGACCGCCAGCUAAGGUCCCAAAUUACAGUUAAGUGGCAAACGAAGUGAGAAGGCACAAACAGCCAGGAGGUUGGCUUAGAAGCAGCCACCCUUUAAAGAAAGCGUAAUAGCUCACUGGUCGAGUCGUCUCGCGCGGAAGAUGUAACGGGGCUCAAACUGUAAACCGAAGCUGCGGAUGUGCAUAUUCUCCGGAAUAUGUACGUGGUAGGAGAGCGUUCUGUAAGCCUGCGAAGGUGACUCGUAAGGGUUGCUGGAGGUAUCAGAAGUGCGAAUGCUGACAUGAGUAGCGAUAAACAGAGUGAAAAGCUCUGUCGCCGUAAGCCCAAGGUUUCCUGCGCAACGUUCAUCGGCGCAGGGUGAGUCGGCCCCUAAGGCGAGGCGGAAACGCGUAGUCGAUGGGAAACUGGUUAAUAUUCCAGUACCUCUGCAUGAUGCGAUGGGGGGACGGAGAAGGUUAUGCGAUCCGGGUGUUGGACGUCCCGGUUCAAGCGUGUAGGCGUACUGCCCAGGCAAAUCCGGGCGGAUUAGCUGAGACGUGACGACGAGCGGGCUUGUCUCGCGAAGUUGCAGAUACCAUGCUUCCAGGAAAAGCCUCUAAGCUUCAGUCAUGCGGGGACCGUACCGUAAUCGGACACACGUGGGCGGGAUGAGUAUUCCAAGGCGCUUGAGAGAACUCAGGAGAAGGAACUCGGCAAAUUAGUACCGUAACUUCGGGAUAAGGUACGCCCCUAGUAGGUGAAGGUGUACAACUGGAGCCGAAUGGGGUCGCAGUGAAAAGGUGGCUGCGACUGUUUAACAAAAACACAGCACUCUGCAAACACGUC
rnacentral:rRNA from 1 species